rnacentral:rRNA from 1 species
UACGUAGGGGGCAAGCGUUGUCCGGAAUCAUUGGGCGUAAAGAGCGUGUAGGCGGCCCGAUAAGUCCGCCGUGAAAGUCCAGGGCUCAACCCUGGAAUGCCGGUGGAUACUGUCGGGCUAGAGUCCGGAAGGGGCGAGUGGAAUUCCUGGUGUAGCGGUGAAAUGCGCAGAUAUCAGGAGGAACACCAAUGGCGAAGGCAGCUCGCUGGGACGUGACUGACGCUGAGACGCGAAAGCGUGGGGAGCAAACAGG